rnacentral:rRNA from 1 species
UACGUAGGGUGCAAGCGUUAAUCGGAAUUACUGGGCGUAAAGCGUGCGCAGGCGGUUGUGCAAGACAGAUGUGAAAUCCCCGGGCUCAACCUGGGAACUGCAUUUGUGACUGCACGGCUGGAGUGCGGCAGAGGGGGAUGGAAUUCCGCGUGUAGCAGUGAAAUGCGUAGAGAUGCGGAGGAACACCGAUGGCGAAGGCAGCCCCCUGGGCUGACACUGACGCUCAGGCACGAAAGCGUGGGGAGCAAACAGG